GUAAAUGAAUGUGUCAUUAUAAAAAGGCACUUUUUGAGAAAGGACCAUUAUAACAUUACUUGUAAUAGGGAAUGCAACUUCCGAUCAGAAAUUUCAUAGGAUGAUUGUCCAUAAUGGGUAGAAGACCCCUAUUGAUGUUGCGGUCAUGAGGUCAAAGGCACUAUAGGGUAUGUAAGUCUCGUCAUGUGACUUGCGAGAUUUCACGAUAUUUUGCACUUCCGGGUACAAACAAAUAUCAACAACAUUGCUUGGGUAAUACUUGUAUGCCGGUGGGAAAGUAAAACUUACAUGGAAAAGCAAAUGAUAUGUGGAAAUUGGCAGAGUUUUUUUGUUUUGUAACGAAAUGCAAAUGGUUUCAUCUUGUGAACAAGUAUCAAUGAAAGACAACUUCGUAUAAUCUUCAGAUAUUUUGACUGAGGACAGUGGUGAGAUGAAAGACGUCAGUAUCCAUUGUAAAUACACUUGCAUGCUCUGCUGUAAAAUCGUUUUGGUAUGUGAUUUCAUGGUUGGAUCUUGA